UAAAAUAUUUAUAUAUAGAAUUUUUUAAUAGAAGAAAUUUAUACUGUUGAUGUUGCCGUUUAUUACAGGACAUUUUACUUUAAAGUUCAAAGUUACUUCACAUGGUAAUUGGUAGCUGCCCAAGAGCAGACAGAAUCAAGUUUUAUGUUUCGCGGUCUUUUUAUAUUUUUUCAAAAAACUGUGUCUGCUUAAUGCUGAUGGCAAUCAAGAUGUGAAUGCAACUUGAACUACCUAUGAUGCUCCAUAGUGUUAUUCGCCGAUAUAUUCUCGUUUCUGGACCGACACUGAUGGGUGUAGAAGAUAAAACAUGGAAAGAUGCCACUUAAUUUAUAAAUUUGAUUAAAAUAUUAAAAUUCAAAAUCCAUUACCAUAGCCGCUUCAAAUAAAAAAAGAAACUUAUGAGUUCAAUAUAAAUCAGGUAAUCUCAGUUCUCACAA